rnacentral:rRNA from 1 species
GAUGAACGCUGGCGGCGUGCUUAACACAUGCAAGUCGAACGAAGCAUUUAAGACAGAUUACUUCGGUUUGAAGUCUUUUAUGACUGAGUGGCGGACGGGUGAGUAACGCGUGGGUAACCUGCCUCAUACAGGGGGAUAGCAGCUGGAAACGGCUGGUAAUACCGCAUAAGCGCACAGUACCACAUGGUACAGUGUGAAAAACUCCGGUGGUAUGAGAUGGACCCGCGUCUGAUUAGCUUGUUGGCGGGGUAACGGCCCACCAAGGCGACGAUCAGUAGCCGACCUGAGAGGGUGACCGGCCACAUUGGGACUGAGACACGGCCCAGACUCCUACGGGAGGCAGCAGUGGGGAAUAUUGCACAAUGGAGGAAACUCUGAUGCAGCGACGCCGCGUGAGUGAAGAAGUAGUUCGCUAUGUAAAGCUCUAUCAGCAGGGAAGAUAGUGACGGUACCUGACUAAGAAGCUCCGGCUAAAUACGUGCCAGCAGCCGCGGUAAUACGUAUGGAGCAAGCGUUAUCCGGAU